ACCUGCAUUGCUCAGUGGUUGAGUGUCAACCUAUGAAUCAGGAGGUCAUGGUUCAAUUCCCAGUGCAGGUA
rnacentral:tRNA from 1 species